rnacentral:rRNA from 1 species
UACGUAGGGUGCAAGCGUUAAUCGGAAUUACUGGGCGUAAAGCGUGCGCAGGCGGUUCCGCAAGUCUGAUGUGAAAGCCCCGGGCUCAACCUGGGAAUGGCAUUGGAAACUGGCUUGCUAGAGUGUGGCAGAGGGGGGUGGAAUUCCGCGUGUAGCAGUGAAAUGCGUAGAGAUGCGGAGGAACACCGAUGGCGAAGGCAGCCCCCUGGGCCAACACUGACGCUCAGGCACGAAAGCGUGGGGAGCAAACAGG